rnacentral:misc_RNA from 1 species
AAUUCUCAAACUCCCUCAGGUUUCUGUCGGGUUUGGACUUUGGGAGUCUUUGCGGGCCUCUCCCCUGAGGUCGGCUCUCCUGAAAUGCAUUAGCUCGUGGGUUGCGAUCCUCGCACGGCACGGCCUCCUCGGCGUCGUAAUGAUCGUCGUGGGCUGGAAGUGUGAUGGGGUCCCCCAUGCUUAUCAAUCUGUGAGCUCCUUCCUUGGCCUUGGCCGAGGGAAGACCACGUCUCUCACUCCCCUCGUGGA